CCUGCAACAUACACCAUGUGAUACACACCCAUGACAAAUUUAAGUAUUUCAUUAGUUAGAACUACAUCCAGAGCUAAAAUAAUAAUUACUAGUUCAGUUUACUGUACUUGACAAGUUUUAUUAUGCUUGCGUAUGGGAUUAACUAGAGUUUGUCAAUGAUGAAUUUCAGGUAUGUAGGGUUUGCUCUAGAAGUGGUUACAGUGAAUGAGUAAUGGCUAUCUUAUAUAUAAUUCUUCUGCUCUAAAAUUUUAUAUUCUAUUAUUACAAAAUAUUGCUCUGGCUGUAUAUACGUAGUACAUAUGUAUUCUGUAUUCAAAAUAACACUAAUUGCAUCUUUUGUGGUUAUUGUUUUUGUUUUUAAAAUAAGCAAAAUCAGUAAUGAACUUUUAGUCUCAUUCAUGCAUUAUGACCUUUGAUUCAUUCUGGUUUUUGCGUUGAAAAUAAUCAAGUACAGUACCCUGUUGAUUGUUAUUUUUAUGAGAAAUAGGGAGAAAUGCUUUACUUAAACUGUAUAAACAUUUCUUGGUCAGUGUUUUUGUCUCACUUUUAUUUCCUGCUCACUAUUUAUUGUAAAGUCACAUCUUAGUGAUAAUGAAAUUGUUAGGUUCUUAUGUUUUACUUAAAGCUUGAACUACCUACAGUACAGUUGUAGCUUAUUCUUUUUAUGUACGUAUGCAUUUUUCUGUUUGUGUGCUAAUCUUAUGGGUUAGUACUGACAUAUUGAUCAUGUUUACAGCAUUUGAAUCACUUGAAGUAAAUAUAUUAAAGAAAAUAUUAAUUGUGUGUCUUAGGGAGCACUUGAAAAUAGGGAGACAUCGUUGUCCCAUUACAAUCCAAAUUUCUGAAGCUAUAAAAAUUAGGCCUUGGAUUAUAUCAUGCUUAAUGUUGCGCUCCCAAAUAUCCAGGUGGAAGAACACCACAAUAUUACAUGUUUUAAUUUAUAACUACUGUUUUAUAGAAAAAAGUCUAGCAUAUUUUAUCAUACACUACCUCAAAAAAUAAAUAUAUCGCUAUAACUUCAACUUCAUGCACUGCCAGUAAAAUGACAAUUUUGUUUCUGUAAGAUUAUUCAUAGCAUAUAGAGAAAAAUGUUUCUGUCAUAUAUGUGUGUCUUGUUCACCUUCUAAUGUUAUGAUAUAUAGAUCUAAAUAAUAUCUUGGUAUAUAUUGUACAGUAAUAUGAAAAGGUAAUUACCUGAGUAGCUUCAAGUGUUAAAUUGAUAUUCACUUAUAAUGUAGAUUUGUUAUAUUAGAAAUUUCCAUAAGCUGGUCUGUUGAUUAUCCCAAAGGGUUACCUUUGAAAUAUUUCUUUCUGUAAGUUUUAACUAAGCCAGGAGUGCUUGCUCUCAGAUCUUGGUUGUAUUAAAAUAUAGAUAAAAUUACUGCAGUACUAUAUACAAUACCUUUAAAUUGAGAGCUAUAUUGCUGCUUAUGAAACUAACGUGGCUUUAGAAAUAGUACAUACUUAUUUAACUUGUUUGAAAAUCCAUAAGUUGAAUAAACAAAAAAUAGUCAGCAGUCAGGACUUGAAACCUAAAUACAUAAGAUAAAAUGUUAUUAUUCAUACUUUUGAAUUGGUUUUAUUAAUAGUUUUUGCACUUUUUCUCUCAUAUUUCAUUUCCUUAAAUUGAUAUUUAGUUGAUCUUUAACCAUUCAGGGCACAGUCACUCAUUUCCUCAAGAAGUUUCCCCUAAAGUACAGAGAUAUUAUGUAUGUAUUCCUGAUAUAUCUUCUAUUUACAGGUGUAAUACAGCCGAGUAAUGCUGCAUAAAAUGAUGUCUUGGUAAAAUAGCCCGAGCAAUUUACAGUGGACAUGUUUCAAUCUCAAAAUCUGUUCAUAAUUGUUGGGUGCACAUGAAGGACUGUUCUCAGGAGAGGUGAAAAUUAUAACAGGUGACAUUAGAGAUGUUGAACAACUAAGCAGAAAGAACCCAGUGGGAAUGGAUGAAAUGUACAAGGUUAAAACAAACUGCUUGGGCUGAAUAGGACUAAACGUAUAUGCUGUACGGACACCUUUUCCCUAGUUUGAUUUGUUGGGUUACAUACAGCAUUUUGGUACAUUUUUUGUUCAUUAAAUAGUACUACUGAAAGCAGUUGCCACUUUUCAAAGUGACUUACAAUGAAUGAAAACACUUUAGGGAAAGCGUGAGUAAAGUAAUUGUAGUCUUACAAUACAUAGAAGGAUAGCCCCGGUUUAUUAUUGACUUCAUAUUUCAAGAACAUAUUAAUUAUAUGUAGAUGCAACCCUAUGGUCUGUUUGGCUCCAAAAGUUUCCAUUUCUAUUGAUAACAAUUUUAAUUGGUCAAAAAUCCUUUGUAUGGCCUAGUGUUUUGAAUGAAAUAUAAUAUAAAGCUUUGCAAUUAUGAAUAAAUUAGAGAAAGACAUCAAUCAUCUACUUUUGGGAAAAUAUGCUAUGUAUUUUCAGAAUUGUAUCCUUUACAGUGUAUCCAUGUUAGGUGAUUAGUUAAUUACCUUUCUGUAUAUUUGCUAUUUUUCUAUUUAAUAGUGCCACCUACUUAUGUCUUAAUAAAGUAUACAUUGAACUAUUGUGCACAACAUUUUACAGCAUUAACAAAAAAAUUCAGAUUCAUUUGUUGAUAAAUCUGUAUCUGUGAAGUACAUUGCAGACAUAAUACAUUAUUACAUCAUUAAAUAAACUACAUACAUUUACCAUGAAUUGCAAAAUACACACUUAUGCAAGAAUGUUUUGGAUAUACAGUACCAUGUAAUGUACCUAAUGAUAUUAUAACCUGUAAUAGAUGACCAAGAACGCAUGUUUUGCUUGUUCUGAUUUUAUUUAUUCUUAUCAGCGAAGUUUUUGCCUUGAAUGCACUGUAAAUUUCAUGAUUGUAUAUUUUAUUUUUGUCUUUCAUUCAGGCUUAGUUCAUAUGACAAAACUGCAUAAGUAAAAAGGCAGUCCAAAACAUGUUUGUCAUGAGAGGAAGACAAAGUGUGGGAGCUAUGAAGGCAGUACAAGAAGAGAAAAACUAACAGCCAUUCAAGUGAAAGAUAUUUAAUCCAUCUCAGUAAAGGCUAUUUGGCUUGAGACUGAAAAGAUUGCAAGACCAAGACCUUGUGCUGGUAAGUAAUAUCCAAAGGAGUUGUGAUUAUGAUAGUUGUUAAUAAAGAAAUAGGAGCAAUAGAGAAAAUUUGUAGAAAUAGCUAAAAUUCGGUUCUUUAUAAUAUUCAGCAAUUGUUGUAAUGUGUAUGAAAUCGAUAACACAAGUGCAUAUUUAAUAAGAGCAAAAAGGAAAAUUGGUGAUAUUAUGCUGGCGUAUGUUGUGCUCCACACAAGACUGGAAGGCAGAUAAAAUUCUAACAAAUUAGACUAGGCAGAUACAUCCUUCUUAUACAAAUAGAGUUAACUUUUGAAUACACUGUCAUAAUAAGUUAGACUAGUUAUGUUUUUGUAGGUGGAAUAUUCGUGAAAAUGCUGAAAUAUAGUAAGGCAUAUCUAUAUCUGACUUUCAUAUUUUGUCAAGAGUUAAAUGUGAUUGUUUGUUAGGUCGUCCCUUAAUGAGUGAUAUUGAAAUGCCUGAACUCCUGUCUUCUUUGGGUCUUGUUCUUUGCCCUUUUCUCUGUGAGUUUUGCACUGCAACAUUCUGCUUUUCCUACAUGAGAGGUUAAUGUAUUUUUCAGCAUACUAUAUAACUUUUCAUAUUGAAUGUGAUUUUCCCAGCACUCACCAACUAUGAUUCUUGUCAUUUUGUGGAUUCUUAUAUACCUUGAAGGUUUGCAUCUAUGGCAUAACUCAGUCUUCCCUAAUCUCUUAAUACAUAUAUGCUAGCAUUAAAAAAUAUAUAUGCAAUUUAAACUUCAGUUUUUAGCAUUCUUAUUCCUCAUUUACAGCGAAACUUUUAUAAUUUGCUACUUGCCAGUCACCUUAGUCUUGGUUUUGUUUAUUUGUUUUGUUUCUUCACUUUUCCAUAUGUUAAAUAUGUAUCUUUUAAAGUGCCUUCCAAGUAGGAGUGUUAUUUUAAUGCCAGUAGCAUCCAUAGGCCUUCCCUUUGUUACUUUAGUAACAGUAUAUGGCUGUGUUAGUCAUUAAUAGUAUGAUGAAAUCAUUUUUAUUUUGCUUUCAUUAUGUCCUGGUGCUUUCUAGUCUGGGUACUGUUGAAUGCCCUCUGAUGACUCACAAACAUAUAACAUCUUCCUAUAAAGUUUAUCCCUGUAGUUUAUUGCUUCUACAGGAGACCUAUCUGACAGUUGUUAGUUGAAGAUUUUUAUUCAUAACUUUCCCUUCUCUCUAAUCAGUGUAUGAAAGUACAGCGACGGGAAAAGUUAAGAAAAACUUGAAAUUGGCAACUGGCAUUUUGGGUUCCUUUCACAGAAUAUUUGGCGGAGUAGUGGCAGCACAUCACCUUUUCCUUUCCACGAAAUUGCUGUAAUAAUGUACGUACUAUAUUUUUCCCAUUUUCUUGGUCCAUUUUUUUUUUACUUUGAUUUCUUCAUCAUAGGACUUUCCCAUCAUCAUCAGAUUAUCCUCUAAUGGGAUAAGAUGAGAAAAAUGUUCUCGCCACUUUUUGAAUUACUGUAAUUUUAUAACUAAUGCUUGUCAGACCUUAUUACUUGUCUGGGUAAUGUCAGUCUUUGAGAUGUUUUCCUGUUUUUCAACCACUGGACACCAAAUGUGCACCACAACCACAUGUAUAUGCUCUAAGCCACUGCACUCCAGCCAUACAUCUGGUCAUUUAAUAAUAAAACCUCUUCAAAAAUAUUCUCCAUUUACUUUUCAUGUUCCUGUGUUUGUGCUUCAUAGAAUGAUACAGGCCUUUGAAACACAUACUACAUUUGUUUGCUGUUUACUAAUGGGAUACUUGUAUACUUUUACUAUAGUCUUUCCACUUCAUCCAAACUGUUGUUACUCUCUUAUUGCCUUCAUAGUACCUCAUGAUAUCUUCAGAGGUCUCAUUUUCAUUUGUUUUCAGUUCCUUGUUAACAUUAUCUAGUUUUAGUUCACAUUCAUUCUCUUCGUUUAGCAGAUUCUCAAAAUACUUUUCAGUUUUUCCAUCUUGCCAUUCCAAAUAUUUUCUUUAUUUCCUUCCUUAGUGUCUUCUUUAUUUUUUGACCUGCAUCUUGAACCCCUUUCUCUCAUUCUUUCCAUAAUUGGGGUUUUGUUCGUAUGGAGUUUCUACAUUGCACGGAACCACUGGUUAUUCAGCAACGGGACCAGUGGCUUUACGUGACUUCCGAACCACGUCGAGAGUGAACUUCUAUGACCAGAAAUGCACAUCUCUCACUCCUCAGUGGAAUGGCCGAGAAUUGAACCCGUGACCACCGAGGUGGGAUGCUAAUACCAUACCAACCACGCCGCUGAGGCAGUUUCUUUUACGACCAGGAAAGACACUAAAAUUGUUUUUACCUUUCCUACAGUGUAUUUAUAGAUUAGCCUUAGUUAUGAUGUGAUAUUGUAUUAAUCUAGUUACUUUACACCCCAUAACAGAAAUGAUAAAUCAGUGUUAAGAAAAUUAAGAAUAACAUUAUACAUUGAUAUACAAAUGUCAAAGCCAACAAAAUUCAUAUCUUUGACAAAGAAUUAUAUGCUUAGAUGUUAAACUACACCAUUGUAACAGGGGUACUUCAGUCAUUUUAGGAUUAUUACAUCAAGUAAUGUCUAGGGUAGUUGUACAUCAGGUAAUAUCCACUACCUACAGAUUAUCUAUUAAGUAUUUUGUUUAUUGCUGGUUAAAAUUGAUUACUACUAGGUUUCUCAGUCAGUGUGACAUCAGAAAAUGUAUGUGUAAAUAGGUAAAAAUAGAGAGCACUUAUCAAAAAAGCUGUCUAAGACUAUGACUGUAUUUGAGAAUUUAAUUAAGAUUAUGGUAGAAAACUUUUAUCUUUCAUGAAGUUUACUUUAAAUCACUAGCUGUACAGUGGAUUUUUAAAUACAUAUAUGUACGUACAUAAUACCAACUAGUGCACACACUGGUACUGGUGCAUGUAAACACACACACACAUGCACUUAGAGAAAUGAAAUUUCAGUUGGAAGCUUACAUUUUUCAUUCUGCUUUGUCACUAGUAAAAACAUUUUUGAGAGACAGGGAAAUACAUUGUCUAAGGAGAAAAACAGCACCAAUAUAUAAAGUUCUCAGAUAUUGUAAAAAGCACUUAUAAAAUUGGAAUUUAAUACAUCUAUUAUGAACAUUCAUUUAUUUAAUUUUAGUUUUAUUACCAGUUAGUGGUUUGAUAUCAUCAGUGUCCACCCGCAUUUGAGGAGGAUUUUUGUAGCAAAUGAUGCUCUAAGUGCAUUUGGUUUGUGUUGAACUAUUUAUUUAAAUUGAGAGGAUUUGGUUAAAUUUUACUUUUUGCUGCAUUCCCCCCUCCCUGUAUAUUAACAAAUUUGAAUUGAGACAAAAUUAAUGUAAUUAGUUUGAUAUGAUUACCCUUUAAUAAGAUUAAAUGCCAGAGAGCAAAAUUACAGGUGCUUUUGAGCAUAUAAUUUUGCAGAUUAUACAUUCACACUUUAAUAGAUACAUUGCUUGCUUAAAUUACAAAAAUAUAAUAAUUUUAAUAUUCUACUGUACAUUUUUUAUUAUUUAUUUUUUAGACUACACAUUACUCUAUUGCUGAGUGACAAGUGCUUCUUCAGGUGUUGCAUGACUUUUAUUUUGUCCAUGAAAUUGUCCCCUAUUUUUAGGUCAGUCAUAUAUAUAAAAGGCAUUGCAAUUAUAAUUCAGUUUUGGUGUUAACGUUAGUUAUAGUUUUGAGGGCUAAUAAGCAUAAUUAAUCAGUCCUAGGCUAAAUUGGAAUGAUAAUUAAGUUCUAGUGAAGAAGUCUUCAUUUUAUCAUCAAAUACAAGUAGCCAAGAAUACUAUGAGGGAGGUCUCCAUGAAAAAUUCUAUAAGGAAAUUAAAACUGUUAGAUAUGGUGUUAGGAAAGGGCACUAUGGAUGCUGUGUGAUAUAGUACAAGAAUUACAAGCAAACUUGAGGUUAUUGCAGGGCGAUACUAAACUACAAAAAUAUUUGUUGCAUAUAGUCAAUGUAGAGGGGAGCAUGUCAUAAAGAAAUGGGAAAGUUUAGCAGUUAAAUACCAAUAAGUUUCCAAUUAAUAUAGGGGCAUGGAAGGGAAAGCUGUUGGAAUGUGAUUGGGUGAAAUGGAGGGAAUGAAAGGUAUUCAGAUUAUGUAGUUUUUUAGCCAGAUGGUACAUAAGAGGCUAACAGCAAAAAAAAAGAAGUUUAAACCAGGGACAUAGGGCCAACCUUUACUUCCAGUGCUAAACUUUGGGCUUUAAGGAGAUAUUAUCUGACAGUAUAAACAAGGAUGUUAAUGCCCAUAUUAGACAUGGUGCUAAGAAAAAGAGAGAAUAUGAGAGUAACUCAUAUUAGAAAUGUUAAGGUGUGGAGGAGGAACAUUAAAAGGAAAUCACAGUGGAUUUAAACUUUAUCAGUGACUGAAGUAAAGGUUAACCCAUAAUUAAUAGCGAUGAUGGAAAGGGUAUACACAAUUUUUUGUAUUAAAUGAAGUAGAUUACAUUUCCAGAAAAAAAUCUUUCUUAAAAGUAAAUUCUGCACUCUAAUUAAUCUAGAGGGUUAAAUACAUAUUGUUUCUGUGAAUGUUUAUUCUUGGUUUCUUUUAAGAGUUUUUAUGUCAUUUGGUUAUAAGAUAUUGUGGCUCUUAUUGUCUUUAAGAACAAACUGAGCAACAAGAAUUUCCUUAUAAUUCAGCAUCACGCAUUUUUUCUUGUCCAGGGAGCUUCAAGGGACACUAGCCAGAGGCAGAAUUAAAAAGUAAGUCCAAUUAGUUCAAUUUUUACAUAACCCAGUUUUAAGUGGUAAAUUUUCAAUAUCUUUAACUGCCUGAAAUGGUUUUAAUUGUUGAUUAGAUCUAAAAGUGUUGUAUGAAGUAGAAGUAGUGUGUAGCAGUGACAUGUAUAUAAAAUGUACUGAAAUAUUGUUAGUAAAAGAGAAAAUUAUUGCUGCAUCUCAAUGAAAGCCUUAUUUUUUAUCCAUUUAAACAAUGUUUUUGUUCUUAUUUAUAACUUAUGAAUAUAGUACUAAUAUAUUAGAAUACAAUUAUAUUGAA